rnacentral:rRNA from 1 species
AUACGUAGGUGGCAAGCGUUGUCCGGAAUUAUUGGGCGUAAAGCGCCUGUAGGCGGUUUGGUAAGUCGGUCGUGAAAAUGCGGUGCUUAACGCCGUAUGGCGAUUGAAACUGCUGAACUUGAGAGCAGGAGAGGAAAGGGGGACUCCCCGUGAAGCGGUGAAAUGCGUAGAUAUUGGGAAGAACACCGGUGGCGAAGGCGCCUUUCUGGACUGUGUCUGACGCUCAGAUGCGAAAGCCAGGGUAGCGAACGGGAUUAGAUACCCCGGUAGUCCUGGCCGUAAACGAUGGGUACUAGGUGUGGGAGGUAUCGACUCCUUCCGUGCCGGAGUUAACGCAAUAAGUACCCCGCCUGGGGAGUACGGCCGCAAGGCUUAAACUUAAAGGAAUUGGCGGGG